CCCUAUGGGGUGCACCAGGCUGAGGUACAUCGCUUUUUUGGUGCCUAUUUUCUUCGCGAGCCAGCCAAAGAGGUAAGCAAAUGGCGCGGCGAGAAUCUGCACCAUCAGCAAUGUACCGAUAAGCGUGGUAUCGCUGAAGUUUAACUCUUUACCAUAGAUGGUCGCCAUGGUAAUGAUCGUUCCGAGACCAUUGGCAUAGAUCCAGAAUGCCAGUAAGCCCAUCGAGAGGUCACGGUAUUUCUUCAAUUCCUUAAAGGUCUUCUGCAAGCGGGUAAAACUUGCCUGGAUUGGUCGUAAUCCUUCCUCACCAGCGUCAAUUUUGCGCGGAGGUUCCUUGACUCUAGUCAGGAGCGGCAGGGAGAAAGCAAACCACCAGAUGGCUACAGUCAGGAAGGAGAGC
rnacentral:rRNA from 1 species